CCGACUUUAGCUCAGUUGGAAGAGCAUCAGACUGUAAUGGCAAAAAUCAUCUGGGUGUCGCCUGUUCGAACCAGGCAAGUCGGA